rnacentral:lncRNA from 1 species
CUGGAGACCUCUGUUGCUCCUGGAGCCCUCCGUCACUCCUGGAGACCUCUGUUGCUCCUGGAGACCUGUUGCUCCCGGAGCCCUCCGUCACUCCUGGAGACCUCUGUUGCUCCUGGAGACCUCCGUCGCUCCUGGAGACCUCCGUUGCUCCUGGAGACCUGUUGCUCCCGGAGCCCUCCGUCACUCCUGGAGACCUCUGUUGCUCCCGGAGACCUCCGUCACUCCCGGAGCCCUCCGUCACUCCUGGAGACCUCUGUUGCUCCCGGAGACCUCCGUCGCUCCUGGAGACCUCCGUUGCUCCUGGAGACCUCUGUUGCUCAUUGGGACCUUCUUAUAUGGGAGUUAAAGGACAGACCACAUGUGUGUAAAGGUUCUGUUGAUACCGCGUCUCUUAAAUGACUUGGAUUUGGAUCCCACCCUUCCACCUUCUACCACCCCCAUCCCCCUGCUCUCACCAUCCCCACAUCCUCCCUGCUUCACGGCUGACCAGGUGAGGGGAGAACUGAGGAAGCUCCGGCCCCGAAAAGCAGCUGGACCGGAUAGAGUCUGUCCCCGGCUCCUCAAGACCUGCGCUGCUGAACUCGGGGAGCCGCUACAACGGGUCUUCAACCUCAGCCUGGAGCUGGGGAAAGUGCCCACCUUAUGGAAGACGUCCUGCAUCAUUCCUGUCCCCAAGAAGAACAGACCGAGUGAGCUGAACGACUUCCGGCCGGUGGCACUCACCUCACAUCUGAUGAAGACUCUGGAGCGGCUCUUCUUCAACCUCCUCAGGCCCCAGGUGCAGCACGCUGAGGACUCCUUACAGUUCGCCUACCGGGACAAGGUCGGUGUAGAGGACGCCAUCAUCUACCUGCUGCACCGAGUCCACUCGCAUCUGGACAAUGGGAGUGGCACAGCGAGAAUCCUCUUUUUGGAUUUCUCGAGUGCCUUCAACACGAUCCAGCCCCUUGUCCUACAGGACAAGCUCCAGAUGCGAGUGGACCCCUUCCUGGUUGCUUGGAUCUCCAGCUACCUCACCGACAGGCCGCAGUUCGUCAGGAUGAAGGACAUCACGUCUGACACUGUGGUCAGUGAAGAGGAUGGGGGGCAGCAUCGGUGCCCCUGUGGAGCACCGAUGCUGCCCCCCAUCCUCUUCACUCUGUACACCUCGGACUUCUGUUACAACUCUGAAAUGUGUCACAUUCAGAAGUUCGCUGAUGACACAGCCAUCGUUGGAUGUAUCAGAGACGACGAAGAGGAGGAGUACCGGUGCCUGGUGAGGGACUUUGUUGCCUGGUGCCACAACAACAGCCUGCAGCUCAACACCUCCAAAACUAAAGAACUGGUCAUUGACUUUGAGAGGGACCGACCGAGACCUAGACCAGUUCAGAUAGGAACGGAGGAGGUGGAGGGCGUGCAGACCUACAAAUAUCUUGGGCUGUGGCUGGACAAUAGGCUGGACUGGACAAGCAACACGAG